UACAGAGGUGGCAAGCGUUGUUCGGAAUUACUGGGCGUAAAGGGCGCGUAGGCGGCCCGUCAAGUCCCGUGUGAAAGCCCCCGGCUCAACCGGGGAACGGCGCGGGAAACUAGCAGGCUUGAGUUCGGGAGAGGGAAGCGGAAUUCAGGGUGUAGCGGUGAAAUGCGCAGAUAUCCUGAGGAACACCGGUGGCGAAGGCGGCUUCCUGGACCGACACUGACGCUGAGGCGCGAAAGCUAGGGGAGCAAACGGG
rnacentral:rRNA from 1 species